GACAGAGGAUGCAAACGUUGUUCGGAAUUACUGGGCGUAAAGCGCGUGUAGGCGGCCCGGAAAGUCGGAUGUGAAAGCCCUGGGCUUAACCCAGGAAGUGCAUUCGAAACUCCCGGGCUUGAGUUCUGGAGAGGAAGGCGGAAUUCUCGGUGUAGAGGUGAAAUUCGUAGAUAUCGAGAGGAACACCGGUGGCGAAGGCGGCCUUCUGGACAGUGACUGACGCUGAGACGCGAAAGCGUGGGGAGCAAACAGG
rnacentral:rRNA from 1 species